AACGCGAAGAACCUUACCUGGUCUUGACAUCCCAGGAACCCUAUAGAGAUAUGGGGGUGCCUUCGGGAACCUGGAGACAGGUGCUGCAUGGCUGUCGUCAGCUCGUGUCGUGAGAUGUUGGGUUAAGUCCCGCAACGAGCGCAACCCUUAUCAUUAGUUGCCAACACGUAAGGUGGGGACUCUAAUGAGACUGCCUAGGUUAACUAGGAGGAAGGCGAGGAUGACGUCAAGUCCGCAUGGCCUUUAUGUCCAGGGCUACACACGUGCUACAAUGGUCGGUACAGAGGGCUGCAAGACCGUAAGGUGGAGCAAAUCCCAGAAAGCCGAUCUCAGUUCAGAUUGUGGACUGCAACUCGUCCACAUGAAGUCGGAAUUGCUAGUAAUGGCGCGUCAGCAACAGCGCCGUGAAUACGUUCCCGGGCCUUGUACACACCGGUACUA
rnacentral:rRNA from 1 species